GCCUAGCUGAAAACCUGACCGCCAAAAUAGUACAAGCCAGCGCUUGAAACUUAAAGGACCUGGCGGUACUCAACAUCACCCUAGAGGGGCCUGUCCCGUAAUCGAUAAUCCACGAAAAACCCGACCUUCUCUAGCCCAAAACAGCCUAUAUACCGCCGUCUCCAGCACAUUCUUUGAAGGAUGGAGCCAAAUAGUCAACCCCACUAGCACGUCAGGUAAGGUGUAGCAUAUGAAAAGGAUGAGAUUGGCCACAGUAUCACACUAUACGAUUAACAUACGAUGAAACACCGUAUCCGAAGCCGAAUUUAGCAGUAAGGCAGUAAAUGAAUGGCCACCUGAAAUA
rnacentral:rRNA from 1 species